UACGUAGGGCGCAAGCGUUAUCCGGAAUUAUUGGGCGUAAAGAGCUCGUAGGCGGUUUGUCGCGUCUGCCGUGAAAGUCCGGGGCUCAACUCCGGAUCUGCGGUGGGUACGGGCAGACUAGAGUGCGGUAGGGGAGAUUGGAAUUCCUGGUGUAGCGGUGGAAUGCGCAGAUACCAGGAGGAACACCGAUGGCGAAGGCAGAUCUCUGGGCCGUGAACUGACGCUGAGGAGCGAAAGUGUGGGGAGCGAACAGG
rnacentral:rRNA from 1 species